UCAAAUAAAAAAAUUCCUCGAACGAGCCCAAUCCCGUCUGAUCUCGGAAGCUAAGCAGGUCAGGCCUGGUUAGUACUUGGAUGGAAGACCACCUAGGAAGACCAGGUGCUGUAGGCG
rnacentral:rRNA from 1 species